rnacentral:lncRNA from 1 species
GCGCCCCUUGGAUCCUCGGUGGCAGGGUCCGGGCAAGUGUCAUUGCGAGGGUUCAGGAAGCCCCGGCCUGUGAUCGUGAGCGGAAACCCCUCCUGGAGUUUCCCCAAAGCCAUGGACAGCCCUAGUCUUCGUGAGCUUCAACAGCCUCUGCUGGAGGGCACAGAAUGUGAGACCCCUGCCCAGAAGCCUGGCAGGCAUGAGCUGGGGUCCCCCUUAAGAGAGAUAGCCUUUGCCGAGUCCCUGAGGGGUUUGCAGUUCCUGUCACCGCCUCUUCCCUCCGUGAGCGCUGGCCUGGGGGAACCAAGGCCCCCUGAUGUUGAGGACAUGUCAUCCAGUGACAGUGACUCGGACUGGGAUGGAGGCAGCCGUCUUUCACCAUUUCUACCCCACGACCACCUCGGCUUGGCUGUCUUCUCCAUGCUGUGUUGUUUCUGGCCCGUUGGCAUCGCUGCCUUCUGUCUAGCCCAGAAGGUCAGUCUGUGUGUGGGACUUGGAGGGGACUGGGCAUAAAAGAGAAAAAUGCACCACAAAAACAAAGAGCCAUAUACCUGAGGCGGGAAGGUGGAAGGUAGCCCAGAGAACCUGAACUCAAAUCCUGAGUCUGCCACUCUCUGCAAGAUUUUUUUUGAGUCUCACUUUGUCGCCCAGGCUGGAGUGCAGUGGUACAAUCUCGGCUCACUGCAAUCUCUGCCUCUUGGGUUCAAGUGAUUCUCCUGCCCCAGCCUCCUGAGUAGCUGGGAUUAGAGGCGCGCGCUACCAUGCCUGGCUAAUUUUUGAAUUUUUAAUAAAGACGGGGUUUCACCACGUUGGCCACGCUGGUCUCGAACUCCUGACCUCAAGUGAUCCUCCCAUCUUGGCCUCCCAAAGUGCUGGGAUUACAGGCGUGAGCCACGGUGCCCAGCUCUCUGCAAGAUUUUGGGCAAGUCACUUAACUUCCCUGUGCCUCACUUUCCUCAUCUGUAAAGUGGGAAUAAUUGCUACCUCUGGGUCAAUGUGAGAAUCAAAUGAGUUAGAAUAGUGGCAUAUACCAUUUUAAUGUUUUUAUUUAUUUUUUAAAAUUUAUUAUUAUUAUUAUUUUUUACCAUUUUAAUGUUUUUAUUAACCACUCAGCAUCCCCAGUGCCUGACCUAUAGUAGGUGCUACGUAUCUGCUUUUGGAAUACAUGCAUGAAUGAAUGAAUGGGUAUGUUGGGUGGGGGAGGGACCAGGGGAAGGGUCUGGGACUGAGGGGAUGCCUGGGUCACUGCUGCCCACUGCCUCUACAGACCAACAAGGCUUGGGCCAAGGGGGACAUCCAGGGGGCAGGGGCCGCCUCCCGCCGUGCCUUCCUGCUGGGGGUCCUCGCCGUCGGGCUGGGCGUGUGCACGUAUGCGGCUGCCCUGGUGACCCUGGCUGCCUACCUUGCCUCCCGAGACCCGCCCUAGUUGCCCCUACAGCCCUCACUGUGAACCCUGAGGCCGGCAGCCCAGCAAAUCUGUGGGCAGAGAGUGGAGAAUCUUGGUGGAUGAGGCUGCGGCGGCGGCAGGAGCAUCUAGAAACGGGAGCGAGCUGGACUGGAACCCUUCCCCUUCCUGGCCACCGCUCUUCGGGCGGCAGCAACCUGAGAUUAAA